UAAGGAAUAUUCCACAAUGGGCGAAAGCCUGAUGGAGCGACGCCGCGUGAAGGAAGAAGCCCUUCGGGGUGUAAACUUCUUUUUUCGGGGAUGACACGACACUUCGGUGUCUAGGACAGUACCCGAAGAAUAAGCCUCGGCUAACUACGUGCCAGCAGCCGCGGUAAUACGUAGGAGGCGAGCGUUGUCCGGAUUUAUUGGGCGUAAAGCGCGCGCAGGCGGCACGCCAAGUACGCAGUGAAAUCUCCCUGCUCAACGGGGAGGGUGCUGUGUAAACUGGCGAGCUAGAGGACGGUAGAGGGGGGUAGAAUUGCUGGUGUAGCGGUGAAAUGCGUAGAGAUCAGCAGGAAUACCCGUGGCGAAGGCGGCCCCCUGGGCCGUAUACCUGACGCUGAGGCGCGAAGGCUGGGGGAGCGAACGGGAUUAGAUACCCCUGUAGUCC
rnacentral:rRNA from 1 species